GAUAAACGCUGGCGGCGUGCUUAACACAUGCAAGUCGAACGGGGUUAUUUCGAGUAGCUUGCUACAUGAAAUAACCUAGUGGCGGACGGGUGAGUAACGCGUGGGAAACCUGCCUCGUACUGGGGGAUAACAGUUGGAAACGACUGUUAAUACCGCAUAAGCGCACAAUGUCGCAUGACAUAGUGUGAAAAACUCCGGUGGUACGAGAUGGUCCCGCGUCUGAUUAGCUAGUUGGUGAGGUAAAGGCCCACCAAGGCGACGAUCAGUAGCCGGCCUGAGAGGGUGUACGGCCACAUUGGGACUGAGACACGGCCCAAACUCC
rnacentral:rRNA from 1 species